rnacentral:lncRNA from 1 species
AUACCGGGAGCUCCUUGGUGGUGCCCCCGGCAGCUCGGAAGCAGCAGGAAGCCCCGAGUGGGGCGGCAGACCUCCGGCCCUGGGGUCCCUGCUGGACCCCCUCCCCACUGCAGCCAGCCUGGGCAUCUCAGACUCCAUCCGCGAAUGCAUCUCCUCUCAGAGCAGCGACCCCAAAGAUGCUUCAGGAGACGGUGAGCUGGACCUCAGUGGCAUUGAUGACCUGGAGAUUGACAGGGUACGUGGCAGCACCCCUUCCCAAGAGGGGCUGGGCUUGGGAGGGCGCUGCAGCCCAAGGAGCCCUGAGUGGUCGGGCGGGGUUGGCCACCUCCCCUGCCCAGAGCCCACCCCGCUGGGUGAAGUGGGCUCCUGGCCUUCUGGCCACUGUUCCCGGGACCCCCCCCCACACUCUCUUCUCCAGUGUCGGCUCGGGGGCGGCCUGUCGAGAGGCCCCUGGCUUUGCGCCUGGUCCUUGCGGCCCUCGGCACAUAGCCUGCAGCAGGCACACAUCGCACAAAUAGCACCAGGGGCAGCCCCUCGAGGGGUCUCUAGACACAAGAGGGCACCCACUGACUCCACAUGCGCUGUGCGCCCCCAAACCCCAGGGCUUCCAGCCAUUGGGACCAGCUCUUUGCAGUUUAUCUCAAUAUACUUGCCCUCUGUCAGGCAGGAAGUCGUCUUCCCUGAUUUCAUGGCCACGUGGUGCCUCAGACCCCUCCAGCCUGGCCCAUCUGUACCUGAGUGGGAGGCUCUCACCCUCACUUGGCCCCUUUGUGGGAACCUGUGGCCUGCACUCUGGCUGGCCAGGGUCCUGGUGCCGGCAGGGCUUGCAAGCUGCCCUAGGGGGUCUCACACAUGUGGCCUGCGUGGUUGGCCUUGGGACAGGCCACAGAGCAACAGGUCCCCAACUCGCCCCGCGCGAUGAGGCCUCAGCCCAGGCUCCGCACUAAAUAGAGGCUGCCCCGGGUUCCCCUUCCUCUAACGGUGGAAAUACUUCCCGCUGGCCAGCGCGACCUUAGCAUGCCCCGGUGUGCGAAGGCUAAAAGCCAGCCCCACUUCCCUGUGCUCGCCCAGUACAUCCUGAAUGAGUCGGAAGCCCGCGUGAAGGCCGAGCUGUGGAUGAGGGAGAACGCCGAGUACCUGCGGGAACAGAGGGAAAAAGAAGCAAGAAUAGCGAAAGAGAAGGAGCUCGGCAUCUACAAGGAACACAAGCCCAAGAAGUCUUGCAAGCGACGGGAGCCAAUUCAGGCCAGUACCGCCAGGGAGGCCAUCGAGAAGAUGCUGGAGCAGAAGAAGAUCUCCAGCAAGAUCAAUUAUAGCGUGCUCCGGGGCCUCAGCAGCGCCGGCGGGGGCAGUCCGCACAGGGAGGAUGCACAGCCCGAGCAUAGCGCCAGUGCCAGGAAGCUGUCACGAAGGAGGACGCCGGCCAGCAGAAGUGGGGCUGACCCUGUGACCAGUGUGGGGAAAAGGUUGAGGCCUCUGGUGUCUACGCAGCCAGCAAAGAAGGUGGCCACGGGAGAGGUGUGUUGUCCCACGCAGCCAGGGCAGGGAGACCUUGGGAGGCAGCCCACUUCUUCCUGGGCCCAGAUGCUUGGUCUGUGACCACAGGGAGAGCAGGCCUGACAGAGGCGCCUGCCCCUGCUGCCCCAUACUUGCCUGGCAUGGCCAGAGAAUCGAGGCCCGAGGGUGGGAGCUCCCGGUUGCCGGAGCAGGAGCGGGCAGGAAGUGGGGACCGUUGUGUGCCUGCUGCUCAGCGCUCGGGCCAAGGCUGAGCAGCCUUGCUGUGGGCCUGGUGCCUGCAGGGAGCCUGUAUGUAGGAAGCAGGCACUGCCAGGUCACAGGGCCCAGCCCUCCAGGGCUCAGGGGUCUUUCACCUGGACUGUCACUUGUUGGGGACUGGUCUGGCCCAGGAAACGAGGGUGAAGGUGCUGGCAGGUGGCGGGGGCUGGGGCAGGGGCCGGAGCAGAGCCUCUGUCUGUGUUCUGGGGGUCAGGGCAGGCCAAGCCCCCGGGGGCUGAGGCCACAGUGUCCUCGGCCGAGGCCUAUGGUCUGGAAAGGUGUUCUGCAUGCUCCCCGAGCACUGGGGUGGGGCCCAGUAGGAUACAGGAGCAGGGGCUGGCAGAGGCCUGAGGGUGGGAUCUUGAUGCUGACACAGCUCAUGGCACAGCCCCCAGGAGGCCAGAAGGGGCCAGUGGGCCUGGGAGCCCUGGCCAACCCCGGGAGCCACUGGUGUGGCGGGAGUGGCUGAGCAUCCUGGGCCAGCCCUGGUGGGUCUGAGGGGUCUGUUGAGAUACACAGGGCUCCCAGCUCUGUGUGUGUCAGAGCCCCACUUCGUUCCAGGCUUUGCUCCCAAGCUCUCCCACCCUCGGAGCUGAGCCUGCCAGGCCCCAGGCGGUGCUGGUGGAGAGCGGGCCCGUGUCAUACCACGCCGACGAGGAGGCUGACGAGGAGGAGCCUGACGAGGAGGACGGGGAGCCCUGCGUCAGUGCCCUGCAGAUGAUGGGCAGCAACGACUAUGGCUGUGAUGGCGAUGAGGACGACGGCUACUGAAGUGUGGCCUCCAGGCAGGUGAUGUCCUGGCAGGGGGCCUCGCGGGUCUCCUCAGCAUCAGACGGGCUUCCAGGACCGCAGCAGGCAGGCCCCAGCGCCGAGACUCCUGGUGACAGGUGGCACCUGUCCCACAGCCCUCGUCCCAUGUGGAACUUACCAUUGGGAUUGUGUUUCUAUUCAGCAAGGGAAACCGGACCAAGCGUCUGCAUGUGUGUGAUCAGAUGUGGGCCGGGUGUGUGCAGGGCUGGGUCCCGCUGCCUGCCGUCGACUCAUCCAAGGACCCUCCAAGGCUGGCAGUGUGGUGUUGCUACUAUUAAGGAAACAGGCUUGGGGCAGCCCCACUGCUGGUCCAAGUGUGUGGAGGGCUGAGUGUGCUGGCCCUGUGACUCAGGACCAGCUCUGGAGUCUCCAGCCCACCCUCCGCACCGUCCCCUCCUGAGCAGCACUCGGCGCCAGCAGCCUCUGCCAGAGUGGAAGCCAGAGCCCUGCAGGUGUCCGGCGCAGCCGUGGGAGCUGAGGAUCUGGCACUUGAGAGGCAGCAGCUCCUUGAAGGUCCUCUGCCUCCAGCUGUGGCCCUGCAUCCAGAUACCUGCCUCGUCCGAGGCAGACACCCCCACCCCUGCCUCCUCCAGACCCCCCUCCCCGCUGCCUGCACCGCCUGGAGCAGCAUGGGGGUCAGACCCCUGCUCCAGGGCCACUUGAGUUGUGGGCCCAGGAGCCCUGCGGCUGCCGGCAGGUGAACUGAGUGCCCGACAGCUGAGACCGGCGCCCACCCGUCCUGAGCAUAGCUCUGUAGGCAGUGCGGGCAUAGCCUGCAUAGUGUCCUGGCGCUGGGAGUUCCCCGUGGACAGAGCCAGAGGGCAGUGGCGCUCCCUGUCAGAGCUGGAUCAGGCCCCCCAUCGAGGAGGGAGGGCAGACGGAGGCCCGAGAGCCUCCCCAGGCCUCUUCGUGGGAAGGCCCCAGUACCACUCGUAGGAGGUCUCAGCUCUGGCAUGGCUGCCCCGGAUGUGGCCGAGGGGGCUUCACCCUGUGUCCUUAGGAGGGGGUGGCCUUGAGGCAGAGCCGUGCCUCACUGACCCCCAGGGGCCUCAUCCUCCCCAUGGAAUGGGCUGUAUGUCCUGCCCCAACUUGGCCCGCAGCAGGCCAGACCCCCCUACCCCCGCCCAGAGCUCAGUAGCCAGCCUGGGUCCUGCCAGGGCUUCUCGAGGGCUUGGGGGAAGAAUAGAUUUAGUAAAGCAGGAAGAUCUGUUGUUACUUAACAG